GACGGCCACCAUAGGGGCGGCAUGUCUGGCAAGACAGGCUUCGUUGUUCGGUGCGUUCUACAACCCUGCCGUCGCGCCUCUCUUUGUCAAUGUUUGUUCUUUUCUUCGCAAAUGUUGUAAGAGGCAACGACAUAAAAGUGCAGAAAUCUAAGUGCUUGGAUUGCUGCCUCAAGACACUGAACCUCUCAUCCCUCCCUACCUCCCCGUCUGCUGGCGUAAAUUGCUGUACCAACUAAUCAGUUCCCUGAUUUGCUGACCCCAUGGUCUAUUGAAGCUAAUUGCAGUGUAUCUGGCUUUUCUUCUUGUGAAGUAUGCAUUCACUCCGCUUUUUACUAGUCUUUACUGGUAGCUUUGAUGCAAAUCUGUGCCACAUCAUGAAGCUGGUAGCGUAGUUGCUAGAUUGAGAAUGAUAUGCAUAAUAUAUAUUGUAACUGAGCCAAGUAAAAGUGCAGUUGUCAAAAUGUUCUCAUUCACCUAGCCAUUUAUUAUAUGGAAUGUCAUUCACAUAUGUUGUCAGUAAAUCAAUUCAAGAGAAUGUUCAUCUACUACAGAAGUUAAAGAAGAUCCGAAUUUGCCUGACAUCUUUACAGAUUGGAAAUCUAGUGGAUUCUGUCAAGUUAGAGAACGCCCAAGAUUAUCUAGUCUUAGUUAUUUAGAUACCUAAUUUCUUUCCAUGUGUGCAGGGGAAAAUCCUAUGCAACUGAGUUAGUUGUGCAGCGCCAAAAUUUCUGAUUGAAUCUGUUGAGUUAGUUUUUUUUUUACCGAGAGUUGGUUAAAAUCAGGCCUUGUGGGAGAAAAUAUAGCCGUCCUAGAUGCUCCUGGAGUGAUCAAAGUACUAGGACCCCUGGCUGGAUGGAGUUUCGCAACACAAAUCUGGUCCAACACUCUGCACAAGCUGAACCACAUGCAAGACUUGAUAAGGGCACGAAGGCCUGGAGCUUCCAUUUCAUCGGCGGUGGGUGAACAAUUACAAGAAGGACCUGAAUGAAAGAAGAAAUUACAACGAGGCCCUGACUGUGAAUACCCUAAGAAGUGGCGCCGUAUUCAUGUUUUUCUCGUGGAAACUAUGGCGAAAUGUUGUUAUCCUCUUCUUUCCUUUCGAUAAUUCAUGUUAUCUUCUUCUCGA